AGGCGCGUAGCUCAGCUGGUUAGAGCGCAUCCUUGACAUGGAUGAGGUCGUUGGUUCGACUCCAAUCGCGCCUACCA
rnacentral:tRNA from 1 species